UAUGGCAAAGACAAACAACACAGUCACAGCUACCUGCUGUGAUUAAACACAUAAACUGUCAGUGUUUUAGUGUCUCACUGUCGAAAUGUGAAGAGGAAGUGAUGCUAUUUUCACACUGAAUGCAAUAUCCACAAAUGUGUCUGCAACAAAAGAACUGUUUAUUCAAACUAGAAACAGUUUGCUCUUGUCUGCAGUAACAUGCAAAACAUAGAAUAUGGAUAGACUAAGUUUAGAAGAGUUCCUAUGAAGAGCACAGAGUCACAACAUUUAAAUAAAUUAUAAUAUCAAGCAGUGUUAUCCAGAGAAUCACUGGGUGGCUUUUUCCUUUUGUAAACAUACUUCAGGAUCGUGAUCACACUUUACAAUAAUGACCGUGUUGGAAAACUGUCAAACUAAUUGAUUGUAUGUUGUAUUGCAGAAACUAUGGAGAGCCGAAUAUAACGUGUAUGAGAGCAGACUUGCUGGCCUAAGUGUUGGGGGAAAAAAUAUUUCAGGACUGCGGGAGCGUGUCAACAUCACAAUGACUCUCACCACAGCUGUGAAUGAGAUCCAAACACCCUGCUGUAUGUUCUAUAAUUUUUCAUCGAAGGAAUAUAGCAGUAAUGGCUGCCAGACCGUGUGGGAACGUGGCUGGGGUAACAUCACCUGCUCCUGUGACCACCUCACGUACUUCGGCAUACU